rnacentral:rRNA from 1 species
GACGAACGCUGGCGGCGUGCUUAACACAUGCAAGUCGAACGGAAAGGCCCUGCUUUUGUGGGGUGCUCGAGUGGCGAACGGGUGAGUAACACGUGAGUAACCUGCCCUUGACUUUGGGAUAACUUCAGGAAACUGGGGCUAAUACCGGAUAGGAGCUCCUGCUGCAUGGUGGGGGUUGGAAAGUUUCGGCGGUUGGGGAUGGACUCGCGGCUUAUCAGCUUGUUGGUGGGGUAGUGGCUUACCAAGGCUUUGACGGGUAGCCGGCCUGAGAGGGUGACCGGCCACAUUGGGACUGAGAUACGGCCCAGACUCCUACUGGAGGCAGCAGUGGGGAAUAUUGCACAAUGGGCGGAAGCCUGAUGCAGCAACACCGCGUGCGGGAUGACGGCCUUCGGGUUGUAAACCGCUUUCGCCUGUGACGAAGCGUGAGUGACGGUAAUGAGUAAAGAAGCACCGGCUAACUACGUG